GACGAACGCUGGCGGCGUGCCUAAUACAUGCAAGUCGAACGAACUCUGGUAUUGAUUGGUGCUUGCAUCAUGAUUUACAUUUGAGUGAGUGGCGAACUGGUGAGUAACACGUGGGAAACCUGCCCAGAAGCGGGGGAUAACACCUGGAAACAGAUGCUAAUACCGCAUAACAACUUGGACCGCAUGGUCCGAGCUUGAAAGAUGGCUUCGGCUAUCACUUUUGGAUGGUCCCGCGGCGUAUUAGCUAGAUGGUGGGGUAACGGCUCACCAUGGCAAUGAUACGUAGCCGACCUGAGAGGGUAAUCGGCCACAUUGGGACUGAGACACGGCCCAAACUCCUACGGGAGGCAGCAGUAGGGAAUCUUCCACAAUGGACGAAAGUCUGAUGGAGCAACGCCGCGUGAGUGAAGAAGGGUUUCGGCUCGUAAAACUCUGUUGUUAAAGAAGAACAUAUCUGAGAGUAACUGUUCAGGUAUUGACGGUAUUUAACCAGAAAGCCACGGCUAACUACGUGCCAGCAGCCGCGGUAAUACGUAGGUGGCAAGCGUUGUCCGGAUUUAUUGGGCGUAAAGCGAGCGCAGGCGGUUUUUUAAGUCUGAUGUGAAAGCCUUCGGCUCAACCGAAGAAGUGCAUCGGAAACUGGGAAACUUGAGUGCAGAAGAGGACAGUGGAACUCCAUGUGUAGCGGUGAAAUGCGUAGAUAUAUGGAAGAACACCAGUGGCGAAGGCGGCUGUCUGGUCUGUAACUGACGCUGAGGCUCGAAAGUAUGGGUAGCAAACAGGAUUAGAUACCCUGGUAGUCCAUACCGUAAACGAUGAAUGCUAAGUGUUGGAGGGUUUCCGCCCUUCAGUGCUGCAGCUAACGCAUUAAGCAUUCCGCCUGGGGAGUACGGCCGCAAGGCUGAGACUCAAAGGAAUUGACGGGGGCCCGCACAAGCGGUGGAGCAUGUGGUUUAAUUCGAAGCUACGCGAAGAACCUUACCAGGUCUUGACAUACUAUGCAAAUCUAAGAGAUUAGACGUUCCCUUCGGGGACAUGGAUACAGGUGGUGCAUGGUUGUCGUCAGCUCGUGUCGUGAGAUGUUGGGUUAAGUCCCGCAACGAGCGCAACCCUUAUUAUCAGUUGCCAGCAUUAAGUUGGGCACUCUGGUGAGACUGCCGGUGACAAACCGGAGGAAGGUGGGGAUGACGUCAAAUCAUCAUGCCCCUUAUGACCUGGGCUACACACGUGCUACAAUGGAUGGUACAACGAGUUGCGAACUCGCGAGAGUAAGCUAAUCUCUUAAAGCCAUUCUCAGUUCGGAUUGUAGGCUGCAACCCGCCUACAUGAAGUCGGAAUCGCUAGUAAUCGCGGAUCAGCAUGCCGCGGUGAAUACGUUCCCGGGCCUUGUACACACCGCCCGUCACACCAUGAGAGUUUGUAACACCCAAAGUCGGUGGGGUAACCUUUUAGGAACCAGCCGCCUAAGGUGGGACAGAUGAUUAGGGUG
rnacentral:rRNA from 2 species